CUCCUGGAAACGGGUGGUAAUGCCGGAUGUUCCACAUGAGCGCAUGCGAGUGUGGGAAAGGCUUUUUGCGGCAUGGGAUGGGGUCGCGUCCUAUCAGCUUGUUGGUGGGGUAACGGCCUACCAAGGCGUUGACGGGUAGCCGGCCUGAGAGGGCGACCGGCCACAUUGGGACUGAGAUACGGCCCAGACUCCUACGGGAGGCAGCAGUGGGGAAUAUUGCACAAUGGGCGCAAGCCUGAUGCAGCUACGCCGCGUGCGGGAUGGAGGCCUUCGGGUUGUAAACCGCUUUUGUUCAAGGGCAAGGCACGGUUUCGGCCGUGUUGAGUGGAUUGUUCGAAUAAGCACCGGCUAACUACGUGCCAGCAGCCGCGGUAAUACGUAGGGUGCAAGCGUUAUCCGGAUUUAUUGGGCGUAAAGGGCUCGUAGGCGGUUCGUCGCGUCCGGUGUGAAAGUCCAUCGCUUAACGGUGGAUCCGCGCCGGGUACGGGCGGGCUUGAGUGCGGUAGGGGAGACUGGAAUUCCCGGUGUAACGGUGGAAUGUGUAGAUAUCGGGAAGAACACC
rnacentral:rRNA from 1 species